GACGAACGCUGGCGGCGUGCCUAACACAUGCAAGUCGAGCGGUCCGGCACUCAACUAAGUGCUUACUUAAGGGGAAGGAAGUAUAGUAGAAGAAGAAGGUAAUAAAAGUGAUGCAAAGUAAGGUAAGCGCGGAGUUGAGUGCCGGAUAGCGGCGGACGGGUGAGUAACGCGUGGGCAACCUACCCUUAAGACCGGGAUAACACCUCGAAAGGGGUGCUAAUACUGGAUAAGCUCCUUGUAGGGCAUCCUAUGGGGAGGGAAGGUAGCGGAAGCUACCGCUUAAGGAUGGGCCCGCGUCCCAUCAGCUAGUUGGUAGGGUAACGGCCUACCAAGGCGACGACGGGUAGCCGGCCUGAGAGGGUGGUCGGCCACACUGGGACUGAGACACGGCCCAGACUCCUACGGGAGGCAGCAGUGGGGAAUCUUGCGCAAUGGGCGAAAGCCUGACGCAGCGACGCCGCGUGAGCGAAGAAGGCC
rnacentral:rRNA from 5 species